UACGAGGGGAGCUAGCGUUGUUCGGAAUUACUGGGCGUAAAGCGCGCGUAGGCGGCUUUUUAAGUCAGAGGUGAAAGCCCGGGGCUCAACCCCGGAAUAGCCUUUGAAACUGGAAAGCUAGAAUCUUGGAGAGGUCAGUGGAAUUCCGAGUGUAGAGGUGAAAUUCGUAGAUAUUCGGAAGAACACCAGUGGCGAAGGCGGCUAUCUGGACGGUUUCUGACGCUAAGACGCGAAAGCGUGGGGAGCAAACAGGAUUAGAAACCCCAGUAGU
rnacentral:rRNA from 1 species